UGCUGAGUGGACGAAUAGCAAGUCGCAUAACUCUGAAUUAUGAAGUUGUAGGUGCGAAUCCUACCUCGGCAU
rnacentral:tRNA from 1 species